CCGGAAUCCUGAACUGCCCCUCUUCACCUGUAACUGUUUGCAACACAAUCCCCAUCUCCGAAUAACAAGAUUUUCUCCUUUCAUGAAGGGUUGCUCAAGUCAAGAAACACAUAUGAAGCUCAUUUCUGCCACCCUUCCUAGAAAACUGGUUCCUGACAGAGACAUGUGGAAAGAUUGGAUAAUAUAUACUGUUCCAGCUUCAAGUUCACUGGUUCUUCUAUCAUCUUCAAACUGCUAUUAAGCCCAUCAGAAAUGCAAUUUCAGAUGGUGUAUUUUUCAGUUCUGAAAUUUCCAUUUGGUUCUUUUUUUAUAUAGUUUCUGUUUCUCUGCUGAGAUUUCCUAUGUGUUCAUUUAUUAAGAGUUUAUGUUCCUUUACAUAUUUGAUUAAGGUUAUAAUCACUGCUUUAAACUCUGUAGGCAAAUUCUGAAACCUGGGUCAUCUUAGAGUCAUUCUGCCUUGAUUGCAUUUUCUUUUAAGUAUAGGUCACAUUUUUCUGUCUCCUCAUAUACCUAGUAAUUUUGGAUUAUGUCCUGGAUAUUGUAAAUAAUAAAAUCUCUGGAUUCUGUUACAUUCCUCCAAAGAAUGUUUAAUUUUUGUUUUAUUGUGUUUUAGCAGCCUGUUAGCUUGGAUGAAAUAAAACAACAAACUCUUAUUUUCUCUGUGGUACAUGGCAGCUGAAAUUUGUGUUCAGUUAUUUUAUUCUUAAUUAGGUUGCUUAAAAGCUGAACUACACAUGCAUAAUUUAGAUGUCAGUCAAAUAUUUUGAGUAUUUAUAUGCAGAAUCUGGAGCUUCUGUUCUCACUCAAUCCUGUCUGAGGUUUUGUCACCCCAACUCUGAUGUAUGAUGCAUUGAGCCAGAUUGCUCUAAACAUGAGUUUUAGCUGAUCUGUGUGAUAGAGACUAGUGUAUGCUUGUCAAAGUCGUAAAAACAGAAAAUUCACUCUUCUUCCUAGUAUAGAUUUUCCUUCAGUUUCUGCUUGGUUUUGACCAUUCUCCAGUACCUUCAGAUAGUUGAUUUUUGCAUUUUGUUCAGCACUAUAAUUGUUGUCUGUGGGAAAGUUGGUCAUGUAGUAACCACUCAGUUGUUUUUUAUAAAUUGUAAUCAUUUGUUCAUGUAACUUCACAGAUUGUAACAGUAUGUGGACAAUCCAAAUUUUGUUAUUACUAAGAUUUUAAUCUACCCUUCCAUUCAUAGGAGUUACAAAUGAGCAAUUUGAGUUUUCUACUUUUCUGUUUUUCUCAAUCUCCUUAUAAAUGUGCUAAUGAUGAGUCAAAUAUUGAACAGCAUUUUGCCUUGGUGGCAGUGAGCCAAAACUACCUGUAGUGUGGGGUGGUAUAAAGAACUCAUGAUUUUGCAUUGAAUUUUCGGAUCUGCCACUACUAGGGAUGAGAUCUUGGGUGAAUCAUAUUUAACUCCAAUAUUCUUUAUUUCUACAAAGGCAUGAAAAAUGCCACCCUCAAAUGGUUAUUGAGAAGAUUAUGGGUUAAUGUAAUGGAAAAAGUUUUCUAUACUGCAGAACACAACACAUUAGGCAUUAUUAAUUGUCAGUACUCUUUGCUCAGUUACCAGCCAAAAGAAAACCUAUCAAGUGAGUACAUUGUUUAUGUAAACAAUAUAUAAAUUAUCAUAUCAGUUGAUAUGUGACUGUAAAGUAUUUCAAGAGGAAAGAGACUAUAUCAAAGAAGCCAAAUGAAAACCAGGUAUCUGCCACUGAAUCCAUCUUUUUCCAGGCCUCUGCCUCAGCCUCAUGGUCUCCUUCUUCGAUAAAACAGGAAUGUCUCAGGUGAAGCUUAGAGGCAACUCACAAACAGGACUUCCUCAGGUUGUGGCAAUGCUUUACAUUUGUGUAAUGCUUUAUCAUUUAAAAAGAGCACAUUAGCAUACAUUGCCUCAUCUGAUCAAAAUGUACUUUUUAAUCAUCUAAGUAAACAUAGAUGCCUCAUUUAUUUUUCACCUUCAUCCACAAAAGGUUUAAGAAAAUCAUAUAGCCAUGUCUUUUCUUAUAUUACUCUUAUUUUAUAGUAACAUUUCCUAUAAUAUAAACUACAUCAAUAUAGACACUGUUUUCACUGAAGGCUAAGGUCUACUUUGUAGUAAGUAAAAAUGAUACCUAUGAGUGAAACCACUCUACUGAGCACUGUCAUUCAAACAAUUCAAAGACCAUUAGUGAUCAAAGUAUGUUGAUCAGUUAACUAACAUAAGCCUGAAAGAUCUCCUAUUUCUCCAGUCAAGUUAGCACUCUCUAUAAAGUUCAUGCAAACUUGUCUGGAGAAUAAGAUACCUUUUAGGCCUAGUCCACUUGAAAUAAUAUGUUAUUAAUAAUGCUGUCUUAAAAGAAAUAAAGAAAACUAUUAACUUUCAGGCUAACAAAAACAUUUCACUGUUUAAGCAUACCACGAUAGUUUAUUUAUGUUACUAAUAAAACAAUAAAGAUCAGAUCAGCAUAUAUUUUUAAAAGUAUAAUAUUCAGCCUUCAUUCAAUCAUUUAUUUCAGAAACCAUCAGAGAUCUCUGCAAUUCUAAUUUAUUCAUACUAUUUUCUAUUACUGGGUCAACUGACAAAUCUACUUUAUUUGCUGUUUUCUUCCCACGAAAUAUAAGGGAGAAAUGUUUUCAAAGAGCAUCAAUUUAUUUUAAAGUUUUUAUUAAUAUGUGAGGAGCUUAUAAACAAAUACAUUGCAUUAAUUAUAGCACCUUAAAGGAGGUAAAAAUUAAGAGAGUUUGGGUGGAAAUAUCAGUAUCUGAUAUUAUUAUAAAUCCAUCAUUGAGACAAGUCAAGUUAAUUUAUAGGAAGGCAACUCUACAGAUAUGUCCUGUUUUAAGCAAAAUCAAGCAUGAAGAUAGCUAAUCUCAUAGCAAAUUUUAAUGCAGAGAUGAUUCUUCUUGUCCUAGGAUUUGUUGCUUUACCAAAAAGAUUUACUAAAAGGUUUAAAUGGAUCAUUAUUUUAAUGCAACUGAAACAAUUUUAUUUACCAAAAAAUUAAGUUGCAUACAAUUUUGUAGGUACAUUUCUAAUGUACAAAGCUAAGUGUAACUGUAUUCACCUUUUAAAAAUUAAACUUAAUUUUUUAAUUGAUACAAUAAUUGUACAUAUUUAUGGAGUAUAAAGUGGUGUUUCCAUACACGUAUAGUGAUCAAAUCAGGGUAAUUAGCAUAUGCAUCAUCUCAAACAUUUAGC